GAUGAAGAACGCAGCGAAAUGCGAUAAGUAAUGUGAAUUGCAGAAUUCAGUGAAUCAUCGAAUCUUUGAACGCACAUUGCGCCCGCCAGUAUUCUGGCGGGCAUGCCUGUUCGAGCGUCAUCUCAACCAUCAAGCCCCAGGCUUGUGUUGGGGACCUGCGGCUGCCGCAGGCCCUGAAAACCAGUGGCGGGCUCGCUGUCACACCGGGCGUAGUAGAUUUUAUCUCGCUCAGGGCGUGCUGCGGGUUCCGGCCGUUAAAAAGCCUUUUUUACCCAAGGUUGACCUCGGAUCAGGUAGGAAGACCCGCUGAACUUAAGCAUAUCAAUAAGCGGAGGA
rnacentral:misc_RNA from 1 species